CAGCAGCCGCGGGAAUACAGAGGAUGCAAGCGUUGUCCGGAAUUAUUGGGCGUAAAGGGCUCGCAGGCGGUUUCUUAAGUCUGAUGUGAAAGCCCCCGGCUCAACCGGGGAGGGUCAUUGGAAACUGGGAAACUUGAGUGCAGAAGAGGAGAGUGGAAUUCCACGUGUAGCGGUGAAAUGCGUAGAGAUGUGGAGGAACACCAGUGGCGAAGGCGACUCUCUGGUCUGCAACUGACGCUGAGGAGCGAAAGCGUGGGGAGCGAGCAGGAUUAGAUACCCCUGUAGUCCCUGUCUCUUAUAC
rnacentral:rRNA from 1 species